AAGAGUUUUCUGAAGUCUUCUUUCUUCCACUCAUAAAGAAGAUAUGUAUGUGCAUCUACACCUGUCCAAGGCGGCCUUUCAUUCUCAUCUCUAAACUUUUUAAAUAUAUCAGUCACUCGUUUGAUAUAUUUCUAAUGAAACAAGUCUUUCAUUUUAGCAUCAUCACAAUAUUCUAAUGAUACAAGUGACUGCCAAAAUCUACUAGUAAGUCAAACUCUACAAAAUCAACAUUAUUUUCAUCAAACUACUAAAAAAGAAAUUAAAUUUCUUACUUUAAACAUACCAAACCACUCUUUUCGCUCUUUUUCUCUUCCUUGGACUUUAAGCU
rnacentral:lncRNA from 1 species